AUGUGCCGGCAGCUGUGGGGGAGCAGGAGUGACAGUUCCUGGGCCACACCUCAUGAGAAGUUGUCCGUGGGCGCCGUGGCAGGACCCCUACAAGCCUUGGUGCCCAAGGCUGCCGGGGGAGACGCAGCACUGACUUCCUGUGGGUGGGAGCCGUCUUUGGGGCCAGGGUCAUUCUCCUUGGUCCCCCCCAGUGGACAGCACAGGUGUGGGGGGAUGAAGCCCCCCGGACAAGCCCAGACAAGCACAGGAGUGACCCUGCUGGUGUCCCUGGCAGGACCAGCACUUCCUGCAACAGCCCCGGGCUGCCAGCGCCCUGCCAGGAGCCAGCCUGGUUGCAACCGCUGUCCCCAGGGAGCCCCAGCGCCGUGGCGCCCACAGCACUCCUGCACCGCCACGCUGCAUCCGCAGCCCUCUGUGCCCAGGCCACCUCCACGUCCCCGAUCCGCCUGCGAAUCCACCACAUCAGCCCGCGGGAUGGAGCCUGUGGCUGACGGGGGAGGUGAGAAGAGCUUCAGCUACGUGCUCAGAGCGCCCAGCGGCGAUGGGUUUGAUGCGGUCAGCGUGCAGAUCCACACGUGUUGGGUGUUCCAAGACGAGGAGGACAGCGGCCAGGAGCGGGGCCGCCUGCCGGAAGGAGCCCUGCCGGGGAAGCAGCCGCAGCCCUCGGAGCAGAAGCCCCGGGCAUCCGCGGGCGGGGACGUGGAGUGCCGGCUGAGGAGCAGGAUCCGGGAGCUGGAGCUGUCGGAGAGGAGGCUCCGCGGGGAGCUGGAGCGGCUCGGCGGCCGCGUGGCCCGGGAGAGAAGCGCCGCGCUGCGCGCCCAGGAGGAGCUGGCAGCCCGGGUCCAGGAGCGGGAGCGCGCGGCCAGGCGGCUGCGGGAGCGGCUGCGGCGCAAGGAGGAGCUGCUGGGGCAGCAGGCGGCGGCCCUGGAGCGCUGCCGGUGGACGCAGCGGCGCCAGCUGGGCCUGGUGCGCCAGCAGGAGCGCGUCCUGCGGGCGCAGGUGCAGCAGCUGGAGCGCGACGUGCGGCGCCUGUGCCGCGCUGCGGGCCUGCUGCUGGCCCAGCUGGACAGCGCGGCCCCGGCGCCCUCCCUUGGCAGCCCCCAGGCCCUGGUGCCGGUGCACCCCACGGAAACCCCGGCGGCGGCGGCGGCGGCUGCGGCGGAGGUGCGCGCCCUGCGGGCAAGGGCCGAGCGCGGCGAGCGAGAGCGGGAGGAGGCGGUGCGCCGGCUGCGGGAACAGCGCGCCAUGGAGCGCCGGCUCCGUGCGCAGCUGGAGGAGCUGCGCUGUUGCGUGUUCGGGCUGCAGCUGUCAGAGAUUGACCUGCAGGGCCGCGUGGAGGACCUCGCCCAGCAAAACCGGACCCUGCGCCAGCAGCUCAGCGCCCGGGCGCCCACUGCCCAUCGCGGUAGCCUGCCUCCUGCGGCCGAGCCCGGCUUGGACGAACAGAUCCUUGUCCUCGUGUGCGGCUGCCCCUCAGCGCAGGGCCCGGAUGGGUCCCUCCACCCUGUGGACUUGACCUGGAUUUCAGAGCGUCUCCCAGCCGCCCCAGCCCCGCAACCUUCGGUCCUGGUGCAGACGGCCACGCUGCCUCCCUGGGGGUCAGCCGAGGACCCUGCCCCCCUGCCGCCACCGCUGCUCCUGAGACCUCCCCGAGAAGAGGUGCUGGCCGCUGGGCUCCCACCUGCUGCUGAAGCCGCCAGACACCCCGGCUGGGACUGCCCCCGGGCGAAGAGCCGUGACAGCCCCCUGUGCCAGGAGUCCCCACACACCUCCGAUCACCCGCUCCCCACGAAAGCGCCCAGAGACCCCGGAGAUGCUUGGCACGAAGAAGGAGGGGUCAGGAAGACCGUGAGCAGGGAGGAGGCAGCCCUGGGCAGCAAGUGCUGGCCGGGUCAGGAGAGCCGAGAGACCGUGACCUUGGGCAGCGGGCUUCGGGCCCCAGAGGGCGUGCAGGGCAAGAACGAGGCUGCCGUGUCCCAGUCUCGGCCGGAGUGUCCACUGCCUCUUCUGCAGGGAGAGGUCCCUGUGUCCCUGGAGGGUCCCGAAUCCCUGGGUGGGAAGGGAGGGGAGGAUGGAGGUGGUGGGGGUCUCCAAGGGGGCUGUCGCUGGAGGAAGCAGCGCCCUGCUCACCUGCACCGGGGCUCACAGGCCGGCGGGGAGGGACAGAGUGGCCAGGAGCAGUGGUCAGCACGAGGAGCCGCUGACGCUUGGGGACACUCUGCUUCGGCAGGAAGAACGCCCUGGGCGAGAGGAAGAAGAGAACGAGCAGACGGUAUCGCAUCAGGAAGUGUGGGGUUCGGCUGACAGGGGUGUCCCCCAGCAGGCUGACUCGGAGGGCUAUGAGGGCACGGUGACGCCGGCCGUGGGAGAACCGGGGUCGCCGCUGUGUCCCGGGUCGGCUGUGUCCACUGAUGGGGGCCACGUGUGGGCUCCCAGUCGGGGCGACAGGUUCUCUGUUGACAUAGAUGAGCUUGAACAGGCGAUGGAGGAGUGUCUCCAGCAGCUGUUCCUCCUGAGGCCUGAUGGGGGCGCUCGGGGACGGGGAACGCCCCCGUCUUCCAGGGGGAACCGCAGGGUGGCUGGGCAGGGUGCUGAUUCGCCGCAGGUUUUCGGGAACCAACGUUGGGAAGUUUGUUCUGCAGAGGCAACAGAGCCCCAGGCAGGCGGUGAAGAUGUUCAACAGGGACAGGCCAAGGUCCCGGGUCCCCGGCCGGUGCCUGGCUGGGAGGAAGCAAGCCCUGGCCCCCCAGAAGGGCCCUCAGGGUUGGGGGAGCUCCGGCCAUCCCCGCCCUGGAGAGCCCUGGAGAGGCUGAGGCUGAGGCUGCACCAGCUCCUCUGUGGACUGGAGAGAGACGGGAGCCAGGUUGUCCAUGGCAACGCCAAGCUUCAGGGGGAGCAAGACAGGUGCCACGAAAAAGUGCGCGCCCUGGAAAGAGCGCGAGCGAGAGAGGCGGCGGAGGCGGCCAGGCUCGCCCGGGCUAACCGCGCCCUGCUGGGAGACGCCGAGCGCUGGAAGCGGGAGCUGGACCAGUGCCUGCAGGUCAUCUCCGAGCUGGAAGACGGCAACGAGAGGAGCUACGGCAAGAUCCUGGAGCUCGAAGAGGAAAACGCGCAGCUCAAGGGGAGUCUGGGCGUGAUGCAGCGAGCCGCCCUGGAGAACCGGGAGCUCAAGGCGCUGGUGGCGGAGCUCGGGGCCGGCUACAAGGAGCUGACAGAGGAGCUGGCGCUGGGAUUCGAGCGCGUGACCCAGGCCUUGCAGAGCGAGCACGCGCACCUUCUACGCAGGGUCUGCAUCCUGGAGACG
ensembl:lncRNA